UACGUAGGGGGCAAGCGUUGUCCGGAUUUAUUGGGCGUAAAAGGCUUGUAGGUGGCCACGCCAAGUCGGAUGUGAAAUCUCCCGGCUCAACUGGGAGGGGUCAUUCGAUACUGGCGGGCUCGAGGCCGGUAGGGGGAAGUGGAAUUCCCGGUGUAGUGGUGGAAUGCGUAGAUAUCGGGAGGAACACCAGUGGCGAAGGCGGCUCCUGGACCGGUUCUGACACUGAGGAGCGAAAGCGUGGGGAGCGGAUCCGG
rnacentral:rRNA from 1 species